AAUACAUUUUAUAUUAAAUAAUUGUUAAAAAAUGAUUAAAUCAGUCUAAUGAACACAAAAUAAAAUAAAUUAUAUUAUUGUAUUAUACAAAAAUGAUAAACAUUUGAUUUAUUUAGAAUUGAUUGUGUUGACACAUGCACAUACCCACGCACGCAUACGCACACAUUUCUAAAAAAUACAGUUUAAAAAAUUUAUAAUAUAAGCUGAGAUUUUUAAUAUUUGUUUUCUCCAACGUGGUUCAAAAUUUGAAUCAAUCCUUCUCAAAAUAUUUUAUCAUUUUUAGUUCACGAGAACUGUUGGUUGAAUGACAAUGUGCUAUCGGUUUAACGCUAAAUAUGAUCUCGUUUUUAGGUCAUAAAUAAAAACUUUUUCAGAAAAAUAAGUAGUUGCAUACAAAUAUAUUCGAAUAGUAAUGACGUACUUAUUUUUACGUGAUAUAAACGUACUGUGUUUAAAUUUGAGAUGUAAAAACGAAUAUUCAACUAUAUUCAACUAUAUUCAACUAUACUAAAAAAAAAUUAAAUAUUUGGCUAAUGUAACUAAAAAUAAUUUUACUUUUCUAAAUAUUUAGUAAUUUUUACCAGAUUUGUUAAUAUUUACUAAACAUUUAGAUAUACAAAAUUAUUUUUGGUUAUAUUGACAAAAUAUUUAAUUGAUAUUAUUUUAUUAUACAUUUGGUAGUUAUAACUAAAUUUUUUUUCAGUGUAUGAGUACAAAAACUCGUUUAUCAAUCAAAUUGCACAUUUUGCAACCUCAUCAUUCAGAAAAGAUUAUAAUAAUUAUUAUAUAGUGAAAGAUAAAAAAAGGUAAAAAAGAUAAAGAAGACAUUGCAUUAGAAACUUUUGAUACAAAUUUGAUGCAAGUCGUAAAUACUUUAAUAUUACAUAUCACUUAUUUCUCGUUUGACAAACACGUAGGGGAUGACGGAGCAAGAGAAAGUUGGGGAGGUAAGACAGAGGGGUUCCCCUAUAUCGCGUGAUUCGAAUUCACGAGCGAGCCAACGCGUUAGUUGCAGCUGUUCGGUUAUUGACAGUUAUCCACGCGCCAGCAAUGUUGGCAGUUGCAAUAUUAAGCUGGACUAUGUAUUUUUUUGCAAUUUUCUUAUGACUUUAUCUCACUUUUUCAUUUGUGACAUUUGUAUUAAAUUAUAGUAAUUUUCUUUUGAAUAUAUGUGCUUUACAGACAACAUUUAAUAGCUUGCAAGAUAAAAUGUUAUUUUCUACUUUUGUAAAGAGUGUUUGGACUAUCAUUUCGAUCACACGAGAAGGGCAAGAGUUGGGAAUAAGAAAAUAGUGUAACAACAUGCAACAAGAUUGUGAAUCCAUGUAACAAUUAAUCACAAUCAACACAGAGCCAAUUCUUCUCUUUGGACAGUCAAUUAGCAUGUGCACAAUUGAGUUGUGUUCCAGAAGUCUUACGCCUGGUAACAUUAUUAAAAACUAUGUUGCUGCGUAAUCUGCAGAAUGAGGCCAGAUGCGUGAGCUAUGAUAAACGAUUACUGUUUUUAUGAUUAUUUAAUGCAUUACUACGAUAUGAGUUAGGAUUUUUUUCGAAAUUGAUGUUACUUCUGGUUAUUGAUCUUAAAAUCGUGAAUUCGUUGCGUGCUAUUGCACAUGUGCCGUUGGCGUUUACAACAUUAUACAUGAACUCCUGCUCAAGAAAAAUUAUUUAGGAUUGACAUGUUUAUAAGAUACGGUUACUGCAAGUUAGAAUUUGGUGCAAAAUUGAUGUUACUUCUGGAUUGAUCUCAUAUUGAUCUCAAAAUCGUGAACUUGCUGCGUACUUCUGCACACGUGCCAUUGUCGUUUACAACAUUAUACAUGAACUCUAUAUAACUCCUGCUCAAGAAAGAAUAUUUAAGAUCAACAUGUCUACAAGAUGUGCGAAUUAUGCUAAACAAAUACUGAUUCCUUUUACAAUUGUUUAAUAAGUUACUACGAGUUAGAAUUUGGUGCAAAGUUGAUGUUACUUCUGGAUAUUGAUUUCAAAAUCAUAAACUCGUUGCGUACUACUGCACACCUACCGUUGUCGUUUGCAACAUUAUACAUGAACUCCAUGCAAUUCCUGCUCAAGAAAGAAUAUUUGAGAUCAACAUGUCUACAUGAUGUACGAUCGUAUGAUAAACAACUACUGAUAUUUUUACAAUUAUUUUAUGGAUUACUACGAUAUGAGUUAGGAUUUGGUGCAGACUUGAUGCUACUUCUGGUUAUUGAUAACAAAAUCGUGAACUCGUUGCUUACUAUUGCACACCUGCCGUUGUCGUUUACAAUAUUUAUACAUGAACUUCUGCUCAAGAAAGAAUACUUAAGAUCAACAUGUCUACAAGAAGUGCGAGAUAUGACAACUAUUUCUUUUUUGUAUCACUAUUUAAUGUGUUACUACAAUGUAAAAUUUGGUGCGGAAUUGAUGUUACUUCUGAUCAGUGCUCUCAAAAUCGUCAACGUAGCGUAUUGUUGUGUAUCUACCAUUGUCGUUUAAAAUAUUAAUCUUGAACUUCUAUUCAAGAAAAAAUAUUUAAGAUCAGCAUGCUUACAAGAAUCAUCAGCUUGUUGCGUAUCAUUGUACAGCUGCACGUUGUCGUUUACCAUACAAAUACAAUGAUAAACUGCUUUGCAAGGAAGAAGAUCAAUGCAGCUUACAAGAAAUUAUAUAGUAUUUAAUGUGGAUUAUAUAGCAAAAUCUGCAGAGGCAAAUUUCGAGCAGAGAAUGUGCUACUAAUUUUUAAUGACAAAAGAUGGGCGAGCUGCGGCAUUUACUGUUUUCUUAUAAUUAUUUAAUGUUGCAAGUCAGGAUGUGAUACGGAAUUAAUGCUACUUCUGGUUGCUCCCAAAUCGUUAACUCGUUUACUUUUGUAUAUCUGCCAUUGUCGGUUACAAUAUUAUUCAUAAACUCCUGUUUAAGCAAGAAUAUUUAAGAUCUACAUGUAUUUAAGGUACUGUAAUACUUAAGAUAGUUAUUGUUCUUUAAUUAUAAGCUUAAUAAUUACAUUAAUAAAUGCUAGAUUAAUAACAAAGUAUAGGGUGUUUAAUAAGUACUGAUAAUUAUCACUUCUCAUGGACAAACUUUUUAAUUAAUUUUUUAUUAAUAUUUACAAUUUACCUUUAUAAUUGUCUAAUUAAUAUAUUUUAGACCGUUAACAAAAUUAAUUAAUUCACUUUUGAUUUUUGAUUUUAUUAAGUUAUUUUAGAAACAGAAGGAUUAAAUAGAAAAGUUUCGUAUGACAAGAAGAUAACUUUGCUUAAAUAUUAGAUUUAUAUAUGUAUAUAUUAUUAUAUUACUUACAUACUUAUCCAUAUGGUUGAUAAUUGAUAUAAGAAAAUCUGUACAUGUAAUAAAAAUGCAAUUUUUAAGACACAUGAUGUAUAAGGGAUUCAAAAGAUUAUUGUUAUAGCAAUUUUUAAUCUUACAGUGUAGAAGAAAAAAUGAAUACAAUCUCUUUUGUGAUUAUUACGCAGAAAAAUAGAGCUUUUUAAUUAUACGUACAGUACACUGAUACAGUACACUGAUACUGUUCUGUACUUCUUUCUUUUACAAAGAAAAAUAUAAUGGUAUAUUAUUAUAAA